rnacentral:rRNA from 1 species
UGCGCAGGUGGGUUUGUAAGUCAGUGGUGAAAUACUGCCGCUUAACGGUAGAACUGCCAUUGAUACUGCGAAUCUUGAGUAUGGUUGAGGUAGGCGGAAUGUGUAGUGUAGCGGUGAAAUGCAUAGAUAUUACACAGAACUCCGAUUGCGAAGGCAGCUUACUAAGCCAUAACUGACGCUGAGGCACGAAAGCGUGGGGAGCGAACCGGAUUAGAUACCCUGGUAGUCC